AUGCGCCACAACACCCACGGGCUUGGCUCUCGCUGGGACCCACACAGACAGGGAUGGAAGCUCCAGACUGGAGACCGAAAUUCCUGUUUAUCAUCUGGAGCUUUUGGCUUGAGGAGGGCAGGGUGCUGUUUGAAACUGAAUGCUAAGAAGAACGUCUGUCUGCCUGUUAUUAAGGCACCGGGAAUUCACAACUACGGAGCAGCCUCCCCGGAGGUGAAAACACACCACUGGAGCUUUGAACAGUUCCAAGUCAUGCUGCUCUAUUUGUGGAGUCACAAAAGCGGAGGGACUCAUAAAAGGAGGGAGAAGGUCUCGAUGCACCUGCAGAGUCUGCAGUUGUUAGCACAGAUACAGAAGGUCACAAGGGAAUUCAAGGCCAAGAAAAACUCGGAUGAAGAAAAUGCAAAUUGAACUGGACUUUGUUUUAUUUCCCCCACCCCAAAGUAAGAUACUUUGCAUUAAAAAAACAAGCAUUGUGCUUGCAUCAAUUUCAAAGAAAUGUAAACUAAAAUUUGAUAAAAAUCAUUAGUGUGGAAUAUUUCAAAUGAAAUUUCCAGUGGAAUAUUAAUAGCCCAUACCAUGUUCUUGCCAGGACGGGUACUAAGCCUACACUUCUAGUCACCAUUUUGGGAAGUCAAACAUAUGGUUUGUACACAUGAGCAUAUACUUGCUUUUAUUUUGGAUGUCAGGAAGGAAAAGGCAUUACAAGGAGUGUUUCCACGGUACAACGAUGCAUUUAGGUUAGUUCCCAGCAUUCGCUGCAGACUCAGUUCUGUAAAAGUCCUCCAUGCAAAACAAUGGAAAACAUAAAUUAAUGUUUUAGAACACAAACAGACAUGAGCUCCAUUCAAAACAGUGAUUCUGUGAUUAUUUGUUUUUGGAAGAUAACUUUCAUUUUCUGGGUUUCUACACAUAAGAACUUGAAGAAUCAUAAAGCAAAAGUCAGUGAAGCCCUGCAUUGGCCUCACUUUGUCUUAUGGUGCACACUCUGCAGAGAUGCUACAGAGACUGCUUCAGCCCUUUUUUUUUGGUGCUUUUGGAAAAAGAAAGGAAGGGUCUCUGUAAACAUCACGAGCCCUGUCAUGACACAGCUGAAAAUGAGUAGAAACAACAAAUGCAGUGAAAACCAAAUUAAAACAAAUAUGAAAUCAACUGAAAUCAACAAACAACGCGCAAACAAAACGUAAACACCAGGGAAAUAACACUCCUUGUGGUUUGUGCAAAAAACACAUAAAAUAUAGCUUUUCACAAAAGUGACAGUUUCCAGUUUGUUCAGUUUGAUGUGUACAUGUGUGUGCGUGUUUGUGAAUUUGCAGUUUCCUUUCUCUCAUUUGUUAGAAGCAUCAGUGAUUCUCUAGCACGUUGACUCUUCCUGUAUUUGAUAGACUGCCUUGUUCUGUCAUGUGAAGCCAGGUUUUAAACAACGAUUGGGACAUAUUAUUGAAAAACGACUACAGGCAAAACACAGGUUGAUUGUCUGUCUCCAACAAUGCUCAUGAAAUAUCUGGUUCAGAUUAUUAUCCUGAAGGUAGA
rnacentral:lncRNA from 1 species